AAAGCACGGACAAAACAAUCGAAACCAUCGAAGUAUAUCAGUACACUGUGGUUGCUUCUCAAGUAACAAUCCAGCUACGGAUAAACUAAGUCAACGAUAGAUGGCUGGCAAUGACAGGCAGCAAAGAAGUUGUCGCGUCUCCUUCCAGAACAAUUCAAUAAGCAUCGUGUAAAGGUCCAUGACCUACUAAUUAUGUGUGCCCCACAAUGCAGAAUUAUGGUUUACACGGAAAUAAAAGUAAAAAUGAAAAAUAUCAUGCCCCGAAACUAAACCAAUAUCCGAAACAACCCAUUUUGUCAUUAACUCGUCAAAAAUAUGAAAUUUUCUUAUUCCGAUGAGAAAAAAAAAUAUCACCAUCAUCGAAACGCGAGUGGCGUCACUACGUCCGCCAUCUUGAAUUCAAACUCAGCGCCGACUUUUCCUACUAGCGCGAUGCGUAGCACUAGCGCUACACCAAGCACAAGGCCAACGCACCGCCAUUGUUAAUUUUUCACUGCUAGCAUUAAGAACCACCCUCGAAAAAUCACAUUCUUCAGCACACUCCCCCUUACCUGUGACUUCGGCGGUAGCCUCUGGUGCAUUCUUUUCGGUGUCAGUCAUGUUGGUUCACAAAAUUAUAAGCUUAGCACAGAUGCAGCAGUCACAA